CCUACGGGAGGCAGCAGUGAGGAAUAUUGGUCAAUGGGCGAGAGCCUGAACCAGCCACGCCGCGUGAGGGAAGACGGUCCUAUGGAUUGUAAACCUCUUUUGACGGGGAGCAAAAGACGCCACUCGUGGCGUUACGAGCGUACCCGAAGAAAAAGCAUCGGCUAACUCCGUGCCAGCAGCCGCGGUCAUCCUGAGGAGGCGAGCGUUAUCCGGAUUUCUUGGGUUAAAAGGGUGCGCAGGCGGACGAUCAAGUCGUCGGUAAACGUGAGGGGAUCAACCGCUUCGAGCCGUUGAAACUGGUGUUCUUGAGGGAGUGAGAAGGAUGCGGAAUGCGUGGUGUAGCGGUGAAAUGCAUAG
rnacentral:rRNA from 1 species